rnacentral:rRNA from 1 species
CGAGUGGCGAAUGGGUGAGUAACACGUGGGUGAUCUGCCCUGCACUCUGGGAUAAGCCUGGGAAACGUGGGUCUAAUACCGGAUAGGACCAUGCUUUAGUGUGUGUGGUGGUAAAGUUUUUCGGUGUAGGAUGAGCCCGCGGCCUAUCAGCUUGUUGGUGGGGUAAUGGCCUACUAAGGCGGCGACGGGUAGCCGGACUGAGAGGUUGGUCGGCCACAUUGGGACUGAGAUACGGCCCAG